rnacentral:rRNA from 1 species
AUACGGAGGAUCCGAGCGUUAUCCGGAUUUAUUGGGUUUAAAGGGUGCGUAGGUGGUUUGAUAAGUCAGCGGUGAAAGUUUGCAGCUUAACUGUAAAAAUGCCGUUGAAACUGUCGGACUUGAGUGUAAAUGAGGUAGGCGGAAUGCGUGGUGUAGCGGUGAAAUGCAUAGAUAUCACGCAGAACUCCGAUUGCGAAGGCAGCUUACUAAGCUACAACUGACACUGAAGCACGAAAGCGUGGGGAUCAAACAGGAUUAGAUACCCUGGUAGUCCACGCAGUAAACGAUGAUUACUAGCUGUUUGCGAUACACAGUAAGCGGCACAGCGAAAGCGUUAAGUAAUCCACCUGGGGAGUACGCCGGCAACGGUGAAACUCAAAGGAAUUGACGGG